rnacentral:rRNA from 1 species
CAGCCGCCGCGGUAAUACAGAGGGUGCGAGCGCUAAUCGGAUUUACUGGGCGUAAAGCGUGCGUAGGCGGCUUUUUAAGUCGGAUGUGAAAUCCCCGAGCUUAACUUGGGAAUUGCAUUCGAUACUGGGAAGCUAGAGUAUGGGAGAGGAUGGUAGAAUUCCAGGUGUAGCGGUGAAAUGCGUAGAGAUCUGGAGGAAUACCGAUGGCGAAGGCAGCCAUCUGGCCUAAUACUGACGCUGAGGUACGAAAGCAUGGGGAGCAAACAGGAUUAGAUACCCCAGUAGUCCCUGUCUCUUAUAC